GCGGACGUGGUGCAUGGCGCACCGCUGCAUUUCAUGCACAAAACCCAGCAUGCAUGCAGCAGCUAACGGGGUUCGACUCCCCGCGUCCGCA